rnacentral:rRNA from 1 species
UACGGGGGGGGCAAGCGUUGUUCGGAAUUACUGGGCGUAAAGGGCUCGUAGGCGGCCAACUAAGUCAGACGUGAAAUCCCCAGGCUCAACUUGGGAACUGCGUCUGAUACUGGAUGGCUUGAGUUUGGGAGAGGGAUGCGGAAUUCCAGGUGUAGCGGUGAAAUGCGUAGAUAUCUGGAGGAACACCGGUGGCGAAGGCGGCAUCCUGGACCAACACUGACGCUGAGGAGCGAAAGCCAGGGGAGCAAACGGG